GGCCAGCACUCAAGCCUUUAAUUUUGCUUUUACAAGACAGUUUUAUAACAUCAAGAAGGAUGGAAAAGCUGCAAGGCAUGCACACUCAAGACUCUGUGCUCCUGGAAAGUUCUGGAUGGGUUCCAGGCAAUGCUUGGUGGCAAAGAAAGAUGAAGGUCUUGGAAAGAGGAGGAAAUAAUCCCUCAUCCUUCAAUAUUCCUGUUUCUGUGAGCUGGGAAUGCCAUUGGAGCAUGGGAAGGACAGAAUAAAUGUGUUCCUGCAGCAUCGUGUGUCUGAGGGGUGCCCUGGUGAUAACCUGGAUAAUACAAUCUGAUUUUGGCCUUGAGUCUGUUCCCUUGGAUUAUCACAUUUCUUCAAGGACCAAAAGCUGUGCUGGUGAUUCAGACUCGGAGGAGAAUGUCUUUUUUAGUGGUAAGCUUUCAGGUUUUUUGGUUUUGUUUUGGUUUUUUUUUCUUUUUUUCCCAGCCAUCAAAGGCCAGAGAGGAGGCUUUUAUCAUGUGGCUGUUUUAGAGAGAAUGAUUUGUGGGCACCCUGACCAGAGCUCCUUCCUUCCUUCCUUCCUUCCUUCCUUCCUUCCUUCCUUCCUUCCUUCCUUCCUUCCUUCCUUCCUUCCUUCCUUCCUUCCUUCCUUCCUUCCUUCC
rnacentral:lncRNA from 12 species